AUCUGAAAGAGGAAAAAAAAAAGACCACGUAUGUGUCCCCAGGGCUAGUUCUUUCCCUAGGUCUGGUUUUACAAAUUCUGGUAAUAAAC